rnacentral:lncRNA from 1 species
AAAUAUAUUUUAUAUGUAUAGUUUUGUACCUUUCUAUAUGUUCCAUUUACAGUUCUGUAACUUUUUUUCUUUCAUAAUGAAUGGGUAUUGAAAUUUGUUAAUUUACAUUUCUGCCUCAAAUGAGAGGCUCAUAUAAUUUUUCUUUGUUAGCUUGUUGAUAAGGUAGAUCAUAUUGAUUUUCAAAAGUUGAACUAGCCUUCCAUACCUGAAAUAAAUCAUACUUGAUUUUGAUGCAAAAUUAUUUACAAUCAAAUCUCAUAAGCACUCAUUCACCAUCAUGAGAGCAGCAGUAGGGGGAUAUCCACUCCCAUGAUUCAGUCACCUCUCACUUGAUUACACCUCCAACAUUGGGGAUUAUAAUUUGACAUGAGAUUUUACACAGCAUCCUA